GUGACAGUGGAGACUGCGAUUGGGGUGACACAGCUGCAAGCCAUGGAACACUAAGGACUUCUGGCCACUGCUGGAGACUGUGGGAGGCAGGAGGGCUCUUCCUUUGUCUUCAGUGGGGGCAUGGCCAGCUGACACAGGGAUUUUGGACUUCUGCCUUCAGAACAGUGGGAGAAGACAUUGUGUCAUUUUAAGCCACCUGGUUGUGGUAAUUUGUUUAGGUAGCCCAGGAAACUAAGAGAGUGAGCCAAUGCUUGGUAAAGCUGUUAGUAGAUCUGCAAUUACCCAAGGAGAAAUUGGAAGACGGCCCUGAAGGUGAAGAGAUGUUUGCCAGCUUCCUGACAGGCUGAGAGAAGGCUCUUCCGAUCCCAAAGCACAGAAGUCAACCCUAGCUAACUUAAACAUAAGUCCCACCCACGUGAAAUCUGGAUUCUUGCUCAUCGUGCACACUUGGGCGCUUCUGUGAAAUCCCCUCCCUGGAGGGGAUUCCUCCAGGAUCAAUGAGAUGAUACUGCUCUUUGGAUAAAUGACACUGGGAAAUCAGGACGUGUGAGUCUUGGCAGGGUUAUUUUUCUGGCGGCCGCGAUGGGUCAAGCUGAGUCAUCCAUGCUAGUUUCCCUCGUGACAGCUUUCACACACUGGAGAGCACGCUGGCUGGCUGGGGGCAGAGGCUUUGGCCAACUGCUAAGCAGGGCUUUUCCCAGUGGAAAGGCGGGGUGACCAGUGCAGGGAGCAAAAAGUUACUCCAGGCACAACGGGACCGCACCCUAAAUGGGGUGAGUUGCCUGUUUUGAAAAUGACUUUUGUCUAUCCCCAGUCAACUCUCCUCCCCACAGCCUCCCCAUCAAGGCUGAGCAGAUCACACUGUUACAAAUCUGAGCAGUCUCCCUGGGUACCUUCAUCCUUCAUUCUUUCUCCACAGACACUACCCUACUAC
rnacentral:lncRNA from 1 species